rnacentral:rRNA from 1 species
UACGUAGGGCGCAAGCGUUGUCCGGAAUUAUUGGGCGUAAAGAGCUCGUAGGCGGCUUGUCACGUCGGGUGUGAAAGCCCGGGGCUUAACCCCGGGUCUGCAUUCGAUACGGGCUAGCUAGAGGUAGGUAGGGGAGAAUGGAAUUCCCGGUGUAGCGGUGAAAUGCGCAGAUAUCGGGAGGAGCACCGGUGGCGAAGGCGGUUCUCUGGGCCUUACCUGACGCUGAGGAGCGAAAGCGUGGGGAGCGAACAGG